AUAAAACUGUUUCUACGGUCGUUUGUUUCAUUUUCUGUGAUUCAAACAUUAACAAAGAAAUAAACAUUUCAUCAGAAUAUCGAUACAAGAUUGAUCAAUAUUCUACUUAUAUCCAAGAAAAUUUGUUUACUUUCAUCUAUAUCCUAUUAAUAAUUUUUUAUUGAUGAUAUGAAAUUUUGUUUGUUGUCAUUAAAUGAUCUUUUUACUUAUAUUUCUUAAUCUUCAUGACACACAAUCUCAGUAAAUUCUUUUGAAUAAAGGCAAGGCCUGGUAACAAUUUUAAAUACAUAUUUAAAUUUUUAUAAAAGUUGGCAUUAAAUAUUAUAUUCCCUUGAAAUUAAAUAUUAACAAAUUAGUUAUCAUAAUCAUAAAUAGUAAUUCAUUAAUGUAUAAUUUAACAUGACAGAUAUAAUAAAUUUAAAUCUGAUGAUUUAAUUUUUGAAUUGUUUUGAUCUUUGUCCAAAAUUUCAAAUGGCUAUAAAAAACAGCUAUUUAAUAGUAAAUUGGUUUUAAUGAUCUUGGUUUGACAAAAAAAAACUACCUGUAUUUAAAAUAUCUAAAGAUUCCAAAAUUCUCCCAGGAUUAGAAAUCAUGUAAUUCUUGAGAUUGUGAUUGUUUAAAAUCAUCUGGGUUUCCAGGAUUGAAACUGUUAUGGUUGGAGAGAGAUUUUUGGUUUUUGCUACAAAUCUGUCUAAAACCGGCAAACCGGUUGGAGACAGAUAUGUGGUUUUUGCUGUAAACCGCAUCUAGACAGCGUUCAGAGAAAUCAGUUUUAAAAGGUGAUUGCAUAGAUGUUGACUAUGCCAAGUCUAACAGAAUGGCAGCUAAUUCUUGACUGUUACUACAGUUCCUAUAUGCCCCUGCCAUUUGAAAAUUUUCAGCCAGUCAGGAUCUCGGGCUCUAUAAAUGACAUCAGUAAAAUGGCAGAAGUUCAAAAUGAAGAAUGCUUUAAAUUACACUUAAAACAUUUAAUAUAUUUAAAUUAUAUUUCACUCAAUAAUAACUCAAAUAUGGAGGAUUCUACAAACUAUGAAAAUUUAACAUAAGCU
rnacentral:lncRNA from 1 species